rnacentral:rRNA from 1 species
AAAACAAAGAGUUUGAUCGUGGCUCAGGACGAACGCUGGCGGCGUGCUUAACACAUGCAAGUGGAGCGACGAACCAGGGCUUGCCCUGGGGCAGAGCCGCGAACGGGUGAGUAACACGUGGGUAACCUACCCCGAUGACCGGGACAACCCGAGGAAACUCGGGCUAAUACCGGAUGUUCUCGCUUCUCGUAAGGGAAGCGGGUAAAGAUAGCUUCGGCCUUCGCAUCGGGACGGGCCCGCGGCCCAUUAGCUUGUUGGUGGGGGUAACGGCCUACCAAGGCGACGAUGGGUAGCUGGUCUGAGAGGACGAUCAGCCACACUGGGGGACUGAGACACGGCCCAGACUCCUACGGGAGGCAGCAGUGGGGAAUCUUGGACAAUGGGCGCAAGCCUGAUCCAGCCAUGCCGCGUGAGUGAAGAAGGCCUUCGGGUUGUAAAGCUCUUUUACCAGGGACGAUAAUGACGGUACCUGGAGAAUAAGCCCGGCAAACUUCGUGCCAGCAGCCGCUGUAAC